rnacentral:rRNA from 1 species
AUUGAACGCUGGCGGCAGGCCUAACACAUGCAAGUCGAACGAGUGGCGGACGGGUGAGUAAUGUCUGGGAAACUGCCUGAUGGAGGGGGAUAACUACUGGAAACGGUAGCUAAUACCGCAUACCAUCGGAUGUGCCCAGAUGGGAUUAGCUAGUGGGUGGGGUAAAGGCUCACCUAGGCGACGAUCCCUAGCUGGUCUGAGAGGAUGACCAGCCACAGGGGAACGGGGAAACGGUCCAGAAUCCUACGGAAGGAAGCAGGGGGGAAUAUUGCACAAGGGAGGCAAGCCUGAUGCAGACAUGCCGGGUGUAUGAAGAAGGCCUUCGGGUUGGAAAGUACUUUCAGCGGGGAGGCGUUACCCGCAGAAGAAGCACCGGCUAACUCCGUGCCAGCAGCCGCGGUAAUAC